rnacentral:rRNA from 1 species
UACGUAGGUGGCAAGCGUUAUCCGGAAUUAUUGGGCGUAAAGCGCGCGCAGGCGGUUUCUUAAGUCUGAUGUGAAAGCCCACGGCUCAACCGUGGAGGGUCAUUGGAAACUGGGGAACUUGAGUGCAGAAGAGAAAAGCGGAAUUCCACGUGUAGCGGUGAAAUGCGUAGAGAUGUGGAGGAACACCAGUGGCGAAAGGCGGCGAUUUGC